UACGUAGGGGGCAAGCGUUGUCCGGAUUUAUUGGGCGUAAAGAGCUCGUAGGCGGCUUGUCGCGUCGUCCGUGAAAACCCGUGGCUCAACCAUGUGGUCUGCAGUCGAUACGGGCAGGCUAGAAUUCGGUAGGGGAGACUGGAAUUCCUGGUGUAGCGGUGAAAUGCGCAGAUAUCAGGAGGAACACCGGUGGCGAAGGCGGGUUGCUGGGCUGACACUGACGCUGAGGCGCGAAAGCUAGGGGAGCGAACGGG
rnacentral:rRNA from 1 species